UACGGAGGGGGCUAGCGUUGUUCGGAAUUACUGGGCGUAAAGCGCACGUAGGCGGCUUUUUAAGUCGGAGGUGAAAUCCUGGAGCUCAACUCCAGAACUGCCUUCGAUACUGAAGAGCUCGAGUCCGGGAGAGGUGAGUGGAACUGCGAGUGUAGAGGUGAAAUUCGUAGAUAUUCGCAAGAACACCAGUGGCGAAGGCGGCUCACUGGCCCGGUACUGACGCUGAGGUGCGAAAGCGUGGGGAGCAAACAGG
rnacentral:rRNA from 1 species